GAAGGAACUUUUCCUGUGCAGUGCUUAGCCCCUGCUGGCCCCUGGUCACCUAUAUUGGGCCAUGGCCUGACUAGUGAUUUAACCUUUUGGCAAUCACCGUAGGAUUUCAUCCAGUGGUUUUAACAGCAAUCCUGUCCUCCAUUAAAAGGCUAUUGUCUUUUAAGAGCAAUCUCCAUAAAACCCUUCUGGGUUCAGCCUUACUAAGUUCAAUGUUUUUUUCCAUUGGGCAAAGCCUACCUCUGGUCUCAGGUGGAGGCUCUUGCCCUCUGUUUUUCCCCUUCUCUAUCCUCUGCUGUAGGGCAGCGAGAGAGCCCAGUUUGUGGAGGCACCCAGCAGGGCCCCAUCUCCUAGCAGGGAAAAACCCCUUCCCCCCACCAGUGGGCCUCCCUCCCACCCCUAUUCCCCACUGCCAAUCGCUGUAUCCUCCUUAAUGGUAUUACAGCUAUGAAAUAUGAUUUUCUUCCAGUUGGGAAUAGGAAUUUUGCCAUGUUUUGCUGAGCAGCACAUUUAAUAUAAAUAAUUCCUACUGCUCACAGGCUCCCACUUUCAUGUAAAGGUUUAUGCUGAGCCCACAGCAAAGAAUUUUAGGGAAAGGCUAUUCAUUAAGACCCUGCCUUACUUGUCUGUCACUUCCAGAAGUCCCCUACAGGCAGAAGGGGUCAUGUAAUGUCUUAUUUAUAUCAAGCCUUCCAGUAAUUAUUUUUCUCCACAACAUUUUAGCACACACCUGUUUUUUUUCCUCAUUUCUCUAUUUGUGGUGCUUUUUGAUUUUUUUUUUCCCCACCCCAAGUUGCUUGCUCUGAUGCUAGUAGGAGACAUCCAACCUUUUAAAGAAAUCAUUCAUUUUUUUAAAGGUUGAACAUGUCAUGGUAAGUUGGUGUACCUAAUAUUAAAUCCCAGCUGUUUCUUUCAAAGUUCUUGAGCAUUGGAUAACUUGCAGAGGCACUCAUGAGCUCUGUGACCCUGGCACAGAGGGUGGACGUGGCAUGCAAAACCACUGAUGGAAACCACUGAGAAGCACACACAUGUCCAGAAUAAGGACUGAAUCCUCUUGUGUACCUCAGCCUACAGUCGAAAGAUCGCAUACAGGAUGCAGAAAUAAGCUAUUACUGUUUUGUUGCUACCCAUUUGCUCCACAGGAGCUGCUCAUAGGAGUUCUUGUCACGAAUAAACCAUCACAACAUGGAUCUUCACUGGUAGCCUUAGCACAGGCACCAGCUGCUGUCCCAUCACCUAGGCAGCACUGCUAUGAGCAGUUAAUCAGAGCAUCCUAACCAGGUGAAGAUAGACUCGAGUAUCGGCAAUGCGCUUUUUCCAUCCUCGAUGUAACAUCUGUCACUUGAGUUUGUGUGAGCUCCACAGCUGUAAGUGCCAAUUCCUGUGCCUGGUGCUUCCCAAUCCACCUUGUAAACACAGCAAGGGUGGAAACAGAGGAAGAAAACGUUACAGAAAGAGAUGGAGUUAAAAAAAGGCAGCAAGGUGACCCACUUUGCACAGGACUGGUCUCUGUAAGUACCAAGGAGCUGGCAGCAGUGGGGAGGCCAUUGGAAACAGUCAAAAUGUACCUCCUGCACACCUGACACUGCUCUCAGUGGAGCUGCAGAAGAAUGUGUUUUCGUGUCUCUGAGCUUCCAGCCCAGCCAAGCAGUUUAAGAACCCGGCAUGGUUGGCAUGAGCAGCCAGUGCUGGCCCUGAAGUGCCACCUCAUGGUUUUGAAAUGCCACAUCUUGAGAGGCCUCUGCUCCGAGCUCAGGGAAAGAACCGAGUACCUCUGUGAGCAAGGCAGGUCAGUGUUGGUGGUUUACAGCUGGCCACCAGAGCACAACAGAUCAGGACUAACUCAAAGUGCUUUUUUACAAAGCUGCAAUAUAAAGAUUGUAGCAGGCCGGCUUUAGGACUUGGAUGGGUGCACAGGUUCAAAAAAGACAAAUGGAGAGUCAGGGCAGCAGUGGGUGAUGGAGGAAGGUUUAAAGCUCAGCCUACGGAGCCUAAGGAGCAGACGGAAUUGAGAAGUGGAAUGAGGAGAGCUCUGAAAAUACCCGAGAAGAGACAGCUCACAGGAUAAGGCAUCCUGACAGAUAUGAAGAGUAAUGGGGAAACAGUCUUACAGCAAAAACCAGGGGUGCAAGGGCAGGGAGGAAACUUCAUCGUGUGUUUACACAGAAGAACUGAUAUGUUACAGACCAUGUGCAGACAUGAUUUUAAGAAGUAGCCAGUGAUUCUGGGUGCCACAUGGAAGAGCUGACAGCCUGAGACACCUUCAAGUGAUUUGACUGUUUCAGUUUUGGAAAAUGAGACACCCAUAAGGCCUCUCAGGUUUAAUGUGCAUAGCCCCCUCUGAAUUGUCACAACCAGAGCCAGCCUAAUGCUGUUUUCCUGAAAACCUUGGUCCCCAUUUAUGAAGAACAUGUUGUUAUUUUGUGUCCUGAGGACCUGGUCUGAGGAGCUGAUGCAGAAUCAGGAAUUCCAAAUCGGAUGACAUUAUAAAGGUGUGCUGCAGACAAAUUUCAAUGUAAACAGGAUCUAGAAGAGAUUUGAUGAGAUUGUGAAAAAAUGAAGAUGGGAUGUAGAUUCAUUAAUAAAACGGCCUGUGGCUAGUGAAUGUAGAGCCUGAUUGAUCACAAUUACUGCAGUUCGUAACCGGAAAACCAGACGUCGGAGGACAUGCACAAGGAGCUCCUUAUCAAGCUCAGUUCCUAGCCGCCUGUCAAAGGCUCUGCCUCCUACCCUUGGAUUUGCUCAAUCUUUUCUUCUCCUUUGACAGGAUGUCCCCUGGUGACACUUAACUUACCCAACCAGUCCUCCCAGGGAGCUGGAUGACUUUCAAAACCUUUCUGUUGACCACUUCACAGAACUUGAAGCUCACGGCUACUUGCAUAACAAGGGAUGCAAUCUAGUGGAGGUAACAAACCCCUUCCUCUGUCCCCACCAUAUCCAGGUGGGUCACUCCCAAACAUGACAAACUGGUGACAGCUGUGUGCAGGACCUCCCAGAAGUUGAACCAGCUGCAAUAAGGAAUGAAGAUUCAAAGCAGGAAGAGUGAACAGAGGUUGGAGGAAUGUGGUAGAAAAGCCCCCCCAGAGUUAAGCUAUUGCUGCCCAGGUGUUUGCUAUUCUUACUAAUCAGAAUCACCCAGAACCCGAUGGUUCUCUGCUAAUGAUGACCUCCAGGACAGGGCUAUGUGUUAAAACUGAUCAUUCUAAGUAGCCUUGAUAAAUGUAUUGCUGCUAGAGGACAAGAAUAUGUCUUAGACAAGGCCAGAUGUCCUGUUACAUUGCAGGACAUAAUCUUAGCUUGUGUAGUGGUCAUCUAUCACAUUUUGAUUGCACAAAACAUGCUGGACCUACCUACCUGGAUCCUCCAACACCGAUCCCAAAUCCUUGACCGUUGUUUAAGAACAACCUAAUAGAAAAAGGGCAAAGCUGCUUUUGUAUAAAUAGCGUUGGUGGAGGCCACUGGUAUGUUC